AGCGUACACGGUGGAUGCCCUGGCAGUCAGAGGCGAUGAAGGACGUGCUAAUCUGCGAUAAGCGUCGGUGAGGUGAUAUGAACCGUUAUAACCGGCGAUUUCCGAAUGGGGAAACCCAGUGUGUUUCGACACACUAUCAUUAACUGAAUCCAUAGGUUAAUGAGGCGAACCGGGGGAACUGAAACAUCUAAGUACCCCGAGGAAAAGAAAUCAACCGAGAUUCCCCCAGUAGCGGCGAGCGAACGGGGAGGAGCCCAGAGCCUGAAUCAGUGUGUGUGUUAGUGGAAGCGUCUGGAAAGGCGUGCGAUACAGGGUGACAGCCCCGUACACAAAAAUGCACAUAUUGUGAGCUCGAUGAGUAGGGCGGGACACGUGGUAUCCUGUCUGAAUAUGGGGGGACCAUCCUCCAAGGCUAAAUACUCCUGACUGACCGAUAGUGAACCAGUACCGUGAGGGAAAGGCGAAAAGAACCCCGGCGAGGGGAGUGAAAAAGAACCUGAAACCGUGUACGUACAAGCAGUGGGAGCCUCUUAAUGGGGUGACUGCGUACCUUUUGUAUAAUGGGUCAGCGACUUAUAUUCUGUAGCAAGGUUAACCGAAUAGGGGAGUCGAAGGGAAACCGAGUCUUAACUGGGCGUUAAGUUGCAGGGUAUAGACCCGAAACCCGGUGAUCUAGCCAUGGGCAGGUUGAAGGUUGGGUAACACUAACUGGAGGACCGAACCGACUAAUGUUGAAAAAUUAGCGGAUGACUUGUGGCUGGGGGUGAAAGGCCAAUCAAACCGGGAGAUAGCUGGUUCUCCCCGAAAGCUAUUUAGGUAGCGCCUCGUGAAUUCAUCUCCGGGGGUAGAGCACUGUUUCGGCAAGGGGGUCAUCCCGACUUACCAACCCGAUGCAAACUGCGAAUACCGGAGAAUGUUAUCACGGGAGACACACGGCGGGUGCUAACGUCCGUCGUGAAGAGGGAAACAACCCAGACCGCCAGCUAAGGUCCCAAAGUCAUGGUUAAGUGGGAAACGAUGUGGGAAGGCCCAGACAGCCAGGAUGUUGGCUUAGAAGCAGCCAUCAUUUAAAGAAAGCGUAAUAGCUCACUGGUCGAGUCGGCCUGCGCGGAAGAUGUAACGGGGCUAAACCAUGCACCGAAGCUGCGGCAGCGACACUAUGUGUUGUUGGGUAGGGGAGCGUUCUGUAAGCCUGUGAAGGUGGCCUGUGAGGGUUGCUGGAGGUAUCAGAAGUGCGAAUGCUGACAUAAGUAACGAUAAAGCGGGUGAAAAGCCCGCUCGCCGGAAGACCAAGGGUUCCUGUCCAACGUUAAUCGGGGCAGGGUGAGUCGACCCCUAAGGCGAGGCCGAAAGGCGUAGUCGAUGGGAAACAGGUUAAUAUUCCUGUACUUGGUGUUACUGCGAAGGGGGGACGGAGAAGGCUAUGUUGGCCGGGCGACGGUUGUCCCGGUUUAAGCGUGUAGGCUGGUUUUCCAGGCAAAUCCGGAAAACCAAGGCUGAGGCGUGAUGACGAGGCACUACGGUGCUGAAGCGACAAAUGCCCUGCUUCCAGGAAAAGCCUCUAAGCAUCAGGUAACAUCAAAUCGUACCCCAAACCGACACAGGUGGUCAGGUAGAGAAUACCAAGGCGCUUGAGAGAACUCGGGUGAAGGAACUAGGCAAAAUGGUGCCGUAACUUCGGGAGAAGGCACGCUGAUAUGUAGGUGAAGCGACUUGCUCGUGGAGCUGAAAUCAGUCGAAGAUACCAGCUGGCUGCAACUGUUUAUUAAAAACACAGCACUGUGCAAACACGAAAGUGGACGUAUACGGUGUGACGCCUGCCCGGUGCCGGAAGGUUAAUUGAUGGGGUUAGCGGCAACGCGAAGCUCUUGAUCGAAGCCCCGGUAAACGGCGGCCGUAACUAUAACGGUCCUAAGGUAGCGAAAUUCCUUGUCGGGUAAGUUCCGACCUGCACGAAUGGCGUAAUGAUGGCCAGGCUGUCUCCACCCGAGACUCAGUGAAAUUGAACUCGCUGUGAAGAUGCAGUGUACCCGCGGCAAGACGGAAAGACCCCGUGAACCUUUACUAUAGCUUGACACUGAACAUUGAGCCUUGAUGUGUAGGAUAGGUGGGAGGCUUUGAAGUGUGGACGCCAGUCUGCAUGGAGCCGACCUUGAAAUACCACCCUUUAAUGUUUGAUGUUCUAACGU
rnacentral:rRNA from 1 species